UACGUAGGGGGCAAGCGUUGUCCGGAAUCAUUGGGCGUAAAGCGCGCGUAGGCGGCCCGGUAAGUCCGCUCUGAAAGUCCAGGGCUCAACCCUGGAAAGCCGGUGGAUACUGUCGGGCUCGAGUGCGGAAGAGGCGAGUGGAAUUCCUGGUGUAGCGGUGAAAUGCGUAGAUAUUGGGAAGAACACCGGUGGCGAAAGCGCUCUGCUGGACCUGCACUGACACUGAGGGACGAAAGCUAGGGGAGCGAAAGGG
rnacentral:rRNA from 1 species